ACUGGUUUGAAGACUCAUAGCUGCAUGGAAUCUCCUGGAUGUUAGCAUUCUGCCAUGCUUAAUGACCAAAGAUUCUGCUUACUCUCAGAAAGGCAUAGUAGAAGCCUAGCAGUCUGAAGCAGAUAAAAAAAUAAGAAUGAGCAAUAUGUUGGAAAGACAAUUAUAUAAACAAUGAACAUUAGUGCACAACAUAAUCCAGUCCCAAGAUCCAAUGAAUAGCUGCAUGCUUCAAAGAGUCUGGGAAUGUCAGGCAACAAAAAAGUAUACUCCGGUCACCAUCCAGCAACCUUGAAUAUGGAUCUGUUUUGCAUAAAAAGUGGACAAGUUUAUGAGCCAAGAAAGAUUUUA